GUGCUGGCACCGCCGAGUCCUGUCAGUCGGCGCGGGUGUGACAGUGCCGCAGGCAGGAGCGGGGGAACCAUCAACGGGCGUCGCGAGACGUCCUGGGGUGAAGCCAGCGCACGUGCUCGUCGGGGAUGCACGUUCGGUGGCCGGGUGAUCUCCCACCCGAACCCGACAGCUCACCUCGUAGGCGUAGGAGAGGUUCAUU
rnacentral:sRNA from 2 species